rnacentral:rRNA from 1 species
UACGUAGGGGGCAAGCGUUGUCCGGAAUUAUUGGGCGUAAAGCGCGCGCAGGCGGUCGAUUAAGUUUGGUGUUUAAGCCCGGGGCUCAACCCCGGAUCGCACUGAAAACUGGUCGACUUGAGUGUAGGAGAGGAAAGUGGAAUUCCACGUGUAGCGGUGAAAUGCGUAGAGAUGUGGAGGAACACCAGUGGCGAAGGCGGCUCUCUGGGACGGUACUGACGCUGAGACGCGAAAGCGUGGGGAGCGAACAGG